rnacentral:rRNA from 1 species
CCUACGGGAGGCUGCAGUGGGGGAUAUUGCACAAUGGGGGGAACCCUGAUGCAGCGACGCCGCGUGGGUGAAGAAGCGCCUCGGCGCGUAAAGCCCUGUCAGCAGGGAAGAAAAUGACGGUACCUGAAGAAGAAGCCCCGGCUAACUACGUGCCAGCAGCCGCGGUAAUACGUAGGGGGCAAGCGUUAUCCGGAUUUACUGGGUGUAAAGGGGGAGCAGACGGCGAUGCAAGCCAGUAGUGAAAGCCCGGGGACCAACCCCGGGACUGCUCGUGGAACUGCGUGGCUGGAGUGCAGGAGGGGCAGGCGGAAGUCCUGGUGUAGCGGUGAAAUGCGUAGAUAUCAGGAGGAACACCGGUGGCGAAGGCGGCCUGCUGGACUGCAACUGACGUUGAGGCCCGAAAGCGUGGGGAGCAAACAGGAUUAGAUACCCUUGUAGUC